UACGUAGGUGGCAAGCGUUGUCCGGAAUUAUUGGGCGUAAAGCGCGCGCAGGUGGUUUCUUAAGUCUGAUGUGAAAGCCCACGGCUCAACCGUGGAGGGUCAUUGGAAACUGGGGAACUUGAGUGCAGAAGAGGAAAGUGGAAUUCCAAGUGUAGCGGUGAAAUGCGUAGAGAUUUGGAGGAACACCAGUGGCGAAGGCGACUUUCUGGUCUGUAACUGACACUGAUGAACGAAAGCCAGGGGAGCAAACGGG
rnacentral:rRNA from 1 species